GCGACAUGCUACUAGUACUAGGUUUGUACUCAACAGUAAACUAUUUUGACAAAAGGCGAAGUGUAAUUUUACUGCUUCUCGAGCAAACUAUGCUGGUAGAGUUGCUGAUUAUCUUGGCAUGAUAAACUGAACUUUCUUAUCCUGCAUUUCUAUACUAUAAAAUCGAACAUUUCUUUCAGUAUGAGCAUCUCUAAAUCUGUCACUUAUGUCUGCAAAGUUGUGCUCUGUAGUUAGCUUUGUAUUGAACUAAUCUGUUUAGUAUAAUACCAAAACAUAUAUCACAUAGGGAUGAACCUGAAGUUUACUGACAGAUGUUUCAACUAAUUUUGUAGUCAUACAAAUUGUAUGUCUUGCUAUUACUUAUGCACUCUUAUGAAUAGGUAUAUGUGAAACUUCUGUGCACUAGUUCAUCACAUGGCAGUUCAUUUUCUGGAAUGAUAUAAAAAGGAGCCGUUCACAAUGGAGUAGCAGUUCACAAUGGAGUUAGCAGUUCAAAAUGCAACAGAGUUGGUGCAAAGAGUAUCAUGCAAGUUUAUUUCAAAUUGAGGAAGCUGAACUAAGCAUUAUGAAUCUGUAUGCUGAUUCCUAAUGAUAUAUAUCAAGAAGGCGUAAUUGUAAGGUAAUUAUUUCUUCCUUUUCACCUGCAUGCUUCCACCUAAUAUAUUGUUCCAUUUUCACCAAUCUAAUAAUUUGUUUUUAUGGCUUAGAGAGACAUGAUGGGUGCAACUUGGAGUAGCAUGUGAGCUCAUAUGCAUUGCUGAAUAAUCUUUUUACGUUUGUGUUAAGUAGAUCAAGUCUUGUUAGAUUGAUUCAAUAGUUUUCAACUGAGUUGAUUGUAACUUGCUACUGGAAUAUCUAUGAAUAUUUCUGCUCAUUAAAAUUAUUGCAUAUCAGCAGCAAUGUAUUUGUUUUCUGUA